UACAGAGGUCUCAAGCGUUGUUCGGAUUCAUUGGGCGUAAAGGGUGCGUAGGUGGCGCCGUAAGUCGGGUGUGAAAUUUCGGAGCUUAACUCCGAAACUGCAUUCGAUACUGCGGUGCUUGAGGACUGGAGAGGAGACUGGAAUUCAUGGUGUAGCAGUGAAAUGCGCAGAUAUCAGGAGGAACACCGGUGGCGAAGGCGGGUCUCUGGGCCGAUAUUGACGCUGAGGAGCGAAAGCGUGGGGAGCAAACAGG
rnacentral:rRNA from 1 species